UACGUAGGGUGCAAGCGUUGUCCGGAAUUAUUGGGCGUAAAGAGCUCGUAGGCGGUCUGUCGCGUCUGCUGUGAAAACUCAGGGCUUAACCCUGAGCUUGCAGUGGGUACGGGCAGACUAGAGUGCGGUAGGGGAGACUGGAAUUCCUGGUGUAGCGGUGAAAUGCGCAGAUAUCAGGAGGAACACCGGUGGCGAAGGCGGGUCUCUGGGCCGUAACUGACGCGUGAGGCACGGAAGGCCAGGGGAGCAAACGGG
rnacentral:rRNA from 1 species